UUUUUUGCCAUAAAUGGCGCUGUAAAAAACUGAAAUUAUUUGUAAAUUUGUUAAAGUAAGAUUAAAAAAUAAAUAAAAAUGUUCUUAUUAUAAGCUCUAGUAACAACUUCACAAAUUAUGUAAUCUUAUCAACUGCCAUCUAUGGCAAGAAAUGUAACUAUUUUGGUACUAAAAUUUUUAUUACACCUAAAAAAAUCCCGUUUCUUUCAUGUUUUGUGACUGGAUGCAAUGUGGAUAUGCCACAUGUUUAGAGAAUUUUAUUUAGAAUUAUAGAGAAUGUUUAGAGAUGUUUAUUUAAAGAAUCUAAAGAUCUGGAAUUAUUACUAGUGCAGAAUGAUUCCUAGAGAAAAUAGACUUUAGACUACAAAUCAAGAGAUUUCGUUUGCAAAAGACAUUUCGCACCCCACUUUGUUACUAAACAAUGGAAUGCUAUUAACAGAAGUAUGUGGAAUUUUCUGGGAAUAAAUGCGAUCUUAGGUAAACUUAAAAAUUUUAUGGUAAUUUGUUUAUCGAAGCAGUUUUACAUAGUUUUGUGAUGUUUUGUUUUAGGUGAUGCUAAACUUAUUUUAUGAGUCGUUCAGAUGACAACAGAAGAAUUUUCAUAUUUUCUGACACUCCUCAUCUCAUAAAAAUUGUCGCUUUGAAUGAUGAAUUUCAUAAAUGAGAACAUUAUCAAGUUUUGUUUGCCUGGAUUGCAAAGCAAGACGUUUAAAAGUUUGUCCUAAUCUAAUUCCUAAUCAUAUUUAUCCAAACACUUUUCAAAAAAUGAAAGUGAAAUUGGCUACCCAAGUAUUUAACAAGUUAAUUGCAGAUAGACUGAAGUUUUAUGCUCACAGGAAUAACAUCAAUAUUACUGAUGUAAAUCUAACAAUCAGAUUCACAAAACGUAUAAAUGAUCGUUUUGAUGCUCUUAAUAGACGAUUUCCUUCUGAAGAUGUGAGAAAAGAAUCAAAUGAUCUACAAACAACUUAAAGACAACCUCAAGUGGCUAAACAGUGUUAAAAACAGGCAUAUUCUACCAAAAGAGUUUUUAACUCUCCAAACAGCUGGGGGCUGUAAGUUACUUUAUGUCAGCUACAGAUCUGAUUCAAUUUGAUACAAAUCUGAUUUCUAUAUGACUGCAAUUACACUUAUGUUUUAACAGGGAAAAUUAAACAAGAUCCUUUUGAGGUAAGCAUAUAAGCUAAAUUAAAGAAUUUUCAUCAAUUCGAUAAUUUUUUUUUAUAUAUUAACGCUUCUUUAGUACAAUUCGUCAAGCUAGUGGGGAAAUGAUCAUCCAGCAGUACUAACAUUUAUACACCUUUAAUAACUGCUGAUGAUUUACUCUUUGAUAAAAUCAUUCAUAUAUGGAAAUUGCACUAUUAAUUAAUGAACAAUAACCAAUUUUGGAUUUGAUAGAUUUCCAGCCUUUGACAACAGAAACCUCAAAUUCAAUAAAAGCCACUCACAUUAAUAACAUUUAAAAAGGCUGGACACUCUUUUAAUUCAGUCACUUCCAGAAUGUGUUGCUGUUUUUGAACAUGAUUACAGCAAAGCAGAAGUACGAGACUGCAUUACAGUAUUUACUCUGUCUGUGGUUUUAUCUUUAGACAUUUUCUAAAGAAAACUCUAUCAAGUUAGCAUCGAGGCAUUUUCUACAUGCAGUAAUUCUUUUCCAGUUUAAAAGAAGCUGAACUUGUUAAUGUGAAAAAUAGAAACGGAUUAAUUUAUUCAAAAAAUAUCGAUUUGGCUACAAAUACAAAAUUGUGAAGACUACUUUGAAAAACAUUAUAAAGUAUCUGUUUAUGAAAAGUGCAUAAAACAGGUUUUAUGUAACAAGGCAUUGAAAUUUCUAUGUAAAGAACAUGCAGAAGAGAUGCUAGGUUACAUAAUUUAUUAUUAUAUUCUAUUAAGAAUAAUGCCAAUAUGCAAAA